AUGUGUGUUCCAAAAGACUAAUGAGCAACGGGUUUUCGAGACAUGCACUGUUUUAAUCUGGCUUUGUUAGCCAAACAAUCUUGGCAUCUCAUUGAUAAUCCUGAUUCCGUAUGUGCCAUAAUCUUACGAGCCAAGUACUUCCCAGAGGGUGAUUUGAUGAACGCAAUAUUAAAGAAGGGAUCCUCUUUUACUUGGCAAAGCAUUAUGGCAGGAGUAGACUCUCUCAGAAAUGGUUAUAUAUGGCGAGUUGAAAAUGGGAAAAAUAUUGAUAUAUGGGGAGAUGCAUGGAUCCCGGAUAGUGCAAAUAGGAAAAUUAUUACCCCUAGACGAGGGCUUCUUCCAUCAUAAGUCGCUAGUUUUAUUGAUCCAGUCAUGAAUGUUUGGAAUGAAGAUUUGGUGAGACAGACAUUAUGGCAAAUUGAUGCCUGGCGAGUCCUGGCGAUCCCUCUCCCUAUGCAUAAUAUGCCGGAUUUUAUUGCUUGGAGCUAUACAAAAAAUGGUUUGUUCACUAUUCGAUUAGCUUAUUUGGAGGAAUGGGAUAAACAACACGGGAGAAAUUUGGAAUAUACAAAUGGUAUGGGCAGAAGUAAGGUCAAUCUUAUUUGGAGUAAGAUAGGGAAACUUGCUUGUCCGAUGAAGGUAAAAAUCUUUAUCCGGCGUACGUUACAUGGGACCCUCCCAUGCCAUGUUACGUUGGUCAAUAGACACAUGAAAACUUCGCCUGUUUGCCUAUCAUGCUCGAAUGGGCCAGACGAUACAAAACAUGUGUUGUUUCUGUGCUAAAAGGCAAAAGAGGUGUGGGAAAAGUUAGGGAUGUAUGAA
rnacentral:rRNA from 1 species